rnacentral:rRNA from 1 species
GGCCUGGCUGGCCGGUCCGCCUCACCGCGUGCACUGGUCCGGCCGGGCCUUUCCUCCUGGGGAGCCGCAUGCCCUUCACUGGGUGUGUCGGGGAACCAGGACUUUUACUUUGAAAAAAUUAGAGUGUUCAAAGCAGGCCUAUGCUCGAAUACAUUAGCAUGGAAUAAUAGAAUAGGACUU